UGGGUAAUAGUGUAGUUGGUUAUCGCGCCCGCUUCGCAUAUUACGUGCCUAUCACGUGAUGUCUUUGCGGGAGGUGCUGGGUUCAAUUCCCAGUUUAUCCAU